GACGAACGCUGGCGGCGUGCUUAACACAUGCAAGUCGAACGGAAAGGCCCUGCUUGCAGGGUACUCGAGUGGCGAACGGGUGAGUAACACGUGGGUGAUCUGCCCUGCACUUCGGGAUAAGCUUGGGAAACUGGGUCUAAUACCGGAUAGGAACCAUCUUUAGUGUGGUGGUUGGAAAGUUUUUUCGGUGUAGGAUGAGCUCGCGGCCUAUCAGCUUGUUGGUGGGGUAAUGGCCUACCAAGGCGGCGACGGGUAGCCGGCCUGAGAGGGUGUACGGCCACAUUGGGACUGAGAUACGGCCCAGACUCCUACGGGAGGCAGCAGUGGGGAAUAUUGCACAAUGGGCGCAAGCCUGAUGCAGCGACGCCGCGUGGGGGAUGAAGGCCUUCGGGUUGUAAACUCCUUUCGCUAGGGACGAAGCCUUUUGUGACGGUACCUAGAUAAGAAGCACCGGCUAACUACGUG
rnacentral:rRNA from 1 species